CCCAACUAUCCCUAUUAAUCAUUACGGUGGUCCUAGAAACCAACAAAAUAGAACACAACGUCCUAUUCUAUUAUUCCAUGCUAAUCUAUUCAAGCAAUAGCCCGCUUUAAACACUCUAAUUUUUUCAAGGUAAUGGUCCUGGCUCCACAACACACCCAAUAAAGAGUAUACUGGUUCACCAGAAGGAAGACCCGACAGCAGACAGUACUCGCCAAAGACGGACCGCCCGGCCAGGCCUAAAAUUCAACUACGAGCUUUUUAACUGCAACAACUUUAAUAUACGCUAUUGGAGCUGGAAUUACCGCGGCUGCUGGCACCAGACUUGCCUCCAA
rnacentral:misc_RNA from 1 species